CCUACGGGUGGCAGCAGUGAGGAAUAUUGGUCAAUGGACGCAAGUCUGAACCAGCCAUGCCGCGUGCAGGAUGACGGCUCUAUGAGUUGUACACUUCUUUUGGACGAGGGUAAACACCUAUACGUGUAUCAGGUUGAAUGUAUCUUCCGAAUAAGGAACGGCUAACUCCGUGCCAGCAGCCGCGGUAAUACGGAGGAUCCGAGCGUUAUCCGGAUUUAGUGGGUUUAAAGGGUGCGUAGGCGGGUUGAUAAGUUAGAGGUGAAAUGUCGGGGCUCAACCCAGAAACUGCCUCUAAAACUGUUUGACUAGAGAAUAGUUGCGGUAGGUGGAAUGUCUGGUGUAGCGGUGAAAUGCGUAGAGAUCAUACAGAACACCGAUUGCGAAGGCAGCUUACCAAGCUAUAUCUGACGUUGAGGCACGAAAGCGUGGGUAGCAAACAGGAUUAGAUACCCCUGUAGUC
rnacentral:rRNA from 1 species